rnacentral:rRNA from 1 species
AUUGAACGCUGGCGGCAUGCCUUACACAUGCAAGUCGAACGGUAACAGGUCUUCGGAUGCUGACGAGUGGCGAACGGGUGAGUAAUGUAUCGGAACGUGCCCAGUCGUGGGGGAUAACUACUCGAAAGAGUGGCUAAUACCGCAUACGACCUGAGGGUGAAAGCGGGGGACCGUAGGGCCUCGCGCGAUUGGAUCGGCCGAAAUCAGAUUAGGUAGUUGGUGGGGUAAAGGCACACCAAGCCGACGAUCUGUAGCUGGUCUGAGAGGACGACCAGCAACACGGGGACUGAGACACGGCCCAGAAUCCGACGGGAGGCAGCAGGGGGGAAUUUUGGAGACUGGGCGCAAGCCUGAUCCAGCCAUGCCGCGUGCGGGAAGAAGGCCUUCGGGUUGUAAACUGCUUUUUUCAGGGGAUAAAAUACCGGUGCGCCGGGAAUUGCAAGUACCUGGAGAAUAAGCCACGGCUAACUACGUGCCAGCCGCCGCCGUAACAC